rnacentral:rRNA from 1 species
GACGAACGCUGGCGGCGUGCCUAAUACAUGCAAGUAGAACGCUGAAGGAGGAUCUUGCUCCUCUGGAUGAGUUGCGAACGGGUGAGUAACGCGUAGGUAACCUGCCUGGUAGCGGGGGAUAACUAUUGGAAACGAUAGCUAAUACCGCAUAAGAGUAGAUGUUGCAUGACAUUUGCUUAAAAGGUGCAAUUGCAUCACUACCAGCUGGACCUGCGUUGUAUUAGCUAGUUGGUGGGGUAACGGCUCACCAAGGCGACGAUACAUAGCCGAGCGGGGAGGGUGGACGGCCACAAUGGGAAUGGGAAACGGCCCAGACUCCUACGGGGGGCAGCAGGAGGGAAUCUUCGGAAAUGGACGGAAGUCUGACCGAGCAACGCCGCGUGAGAGGAGAAGGUUUUCGGGUCGUAAAGCUCUGUUGUAAGAGAAGAAAGAGUGUGAGAGUGGAAAGUUCACACUGUGACGGUAUCUUAACAGAAAGGGACGGCUAACUACGUG